GUUCGAGCGUCAUUUAAACCAAUCCAGCUUGCUGGGUCUUGGGCCUUUCGCCUCCGGGCGGGCCCCAAAAUCAGUGGCGGUGCUGUCUAGCUCUAAGCGUAGUAAUAUUUCUCGCUAUAGACACUAGGUGGUUGCCUGCCAACAACCCUUAUUUUUCAAAGGUUGACCUCGGAUCAGGUAGGGAUACCCGCUGAACUUAA
rnacentral:misc_RNA from 1 species